rnacentral:tRNA from 3 species
GCCAUCUUAGCUCAGUUGGUAGAGCGGCGGUAUCGUAAACCGUAGGUCGUGGGUUCGAUUCCCACAGAUGGCUCCA